rnacentral:rRNA from 1 species
GGUGAACGCUGGCGGCGUGCCUAAUACAUGCAAGUCGAGCGAACGGAUAAGGAGCUUGCUCCUUUGAAGUUAGCGGCGGACGGGUGAGUAACACGUGGGUAGCCUACCUAUAAGACUGAAAUAACUUCGGGAAACCGGAGCUAAUGCCGGAUAACAUUUGGAACCGCAUGGUUCUAAAGUAAAGAUGGUUUUGCUAUCACUUAUAGAUGGACCCGCGCCGUACUAGCUAGUUGGUAAGGUAACGGUUUACCAAGGCAACGAUACGUAGCCGACCUGAGAGGGUGAUCGGCCACACUGGAACUGAGACACGGUCCAG